rnacentral:rRNA from 1 species
AGGACGAACGCUGGCGGCGUGCUUAACACAUGCAAGUCGAGCGGUAAGGCCUCUUCGGGGGUACACGAGCGGCGAACGGGUGAGUAACACGUGGGUGACCUGCCCUCAGCUCUGGGAUAAGCCUGGGAAACUGGGUCUAAUACUGGAUAUGACUGCGCAUCGCAUGGUGUGUGGUGGUAAAGUUUUUUCGGCUGGGGAUGGGCCCGCGGCCUAUCAGCUUGUUGGUGGGGUGAUGGCCUACCAAGGCGACGACGGGUA